CUUAUGUCCCUGUAAUGAAGUUUAAGCUCAAUGGAGUUUCCAUAUAUCUUCUAUAUGCUAAACUAUCACUUUGGGUCAUUCCUGAAGACCUAGAUAUCUCACAUGACUCAAUAUUACAAAAUGUUGAUGAGCAGACUGUUCGCAGUUUGAAUCAAUGUAGAGACACUGAACAAAUUUUACACUUGGUGCCAAAUAUUCAGGCAAUGGAGGCUAGCAAAACUGACGGGAUUGUUUGUUUGAGCCUUAUCCCUUUUUUGAAGCCUACAAAAAUUAUCUAGAGAUUGAUAUGACUGCUGAAAAUGAUUUGGACCUUUGGAACUGGAAAGGUUGGGUGGAAUCACGUCUUUGUAAAUUGACUCUAAAGAUUGAAAGGCACACUUUUGGCAUGCUUCAGUGUCACCCUUGCACACAUUCCAAUACUAAAUGUAGCUUCUAUC